rnacentral:rRNA from 1 species
AUGCCUAGCCUUAAACAUUGACCACUUACACAAACUAUCCGCCAGGGAACUACGAGCCUCAGCUUAAAACCCAAAGGACUUGGCGGUGCCCCAAACCCACCUAGAGGAGCCUGUUCUAUAAUCGAUAACCCCCGCUUAACCUCACCACUUCUUGCCGAAACCGCCUAUAUACCACCGNCGCCAGCCCACCCCGUGAGGGGAAUGNAGUAGGCAAAAUGGCCCUCGCCAGAACGUCAGGUCAAGGUGUAGCGUAUGAAGUGGAAAGAAAUGGGCUACAUUUUCUGACUCAGAACAACACGAAAGGUCACUAUGAAACCUGACCCAAAGGAGGAUUUAGUAGUANAGAGAAACAAGAGAGUUCCCUUUAACUCGGNCCUGGNGCG